GGAACCAACCACGACAGAAACGUGAAUGUACGUUUGGAAACACAGACGCACAAGCAGCAUCCUGGGAGAUUCUGCAAGAUGUGUCAGAGAAGAAAUCGCCAUCAGGCGACAUGUGUUAUUUUUAUGAUUUUCUCUUAACUUCCUCUUGUGAAACACGACUUACCCUCCUGGAGAGCUCGGGAAGGAGAAGACGCAUGGAGGAGGGGACAGGAAACGAACGCCCGUGUCACCUCCUGGCUGCUUCAAGAACCGAGAAGCGGAACGUGGCAGCGGGCCCCCAUUUACGAAGCUCUUCCCCUCCUACCACAUUCUACUUUUAGUUUUAGGGAACGUUCAGACGAGGUCUGCCUGUGUCUGCCAUCUCAGCAGUGGCUUCUGGGUUGCUGCGGCUGAAAGUGUCCAGGCCGAGACGCGUGCCGUGACCCGUGUCAGCGCCGCUUCUCCUCCACAGUGGCUCGUCUGAGCCUCACAGCUCCACGCCCUCCCUCUGCACAGGAACAGGGUCCCCUGCACCGCACCCCUCCCCUGACUGCUCUGGCUGCCCUGGCGGUGUGACGCACCGGGCACAGGUCCACAGGCUGUGCUGGUGGCUGCGUGAGCAUGAGGGUGUGUCCGGAUUCUGUUCACACCAAUAAAAUACUCAGAGUCUCUUUGAACUGACUGUUUAAAACGAGCGAUGGAGGACGU